rnacentral:rRNA from 1 species
AGUGAACGCUGGCGGUAGGCCUAACACAUGCAAGUCGAACGGCAGCACAGUAAGAGCUUGCUCUUACGGGUGGCGAGUGGCGGACGGGUGAGGAAUACAUCGGAAUCUACUUUUUCGUGGGGGAUAACGUAGGGAAACUUACGCUAAUACCGCAUACGACCUACGGGUGAAAGCAGGGGAUCUUCGGACCUUGCGCGAUUGAAUGAGCCGAUGUCGGAUUAGCUAGUUGGCGGGGUAAAGGCCCACCAAGGCGACGAUCCGUAGCUGGUCUGAGAGGAUGGGUGGGCCAACCGGGAAGGAGAAACGGGUCCGACCUCCGAGGGGGGGGAGGGGGGGGGAAUGUGGGAAAAGGGGCGAAAGCCUGACCCCGCCAAGCGGGGGGGGGAAAGAAGGCUUUGGGGUUGGAAAGCCUUUUUGUGGGGAAAAAAAAACGGCGGGUUAAUACCCCGCUUUUGUGAGGGUACCAAAAAAAAAAGCACGGCCUAACUGGGG